UACGGAGGGUGCGAGCGUUGUCCGGAAUCAUUGGGCGUAAAGGGCGCGUAGGUGGCCCGGUCAGUCCGUGGUGAAAGCGCGGGGCUCAACCCCGCGUCGGCCAUGGAUACUGCGGGGCUUGAGCACUGUAGAGGCAGGCGGAAUUCCGGGUGUAGCGGUGGAAUGCGUAGAGAUCCGGAAGAACACCGGUGGCGAAGGCGGCCUGCUGGGCAGUAGCUGACACUGAGGCGCGACAGCGUGGGGAGCAAACAGG
rnacentral:rRNA from 1 species